AAACUAACAAGGAUUCCCCUAGUAACGGCGAGUGAAGCGGGAAGAGCUCAAAUUUAAAAUCUGGCAGGCUACGCUUGUCCGAAUUGUAAUCUCGAGAAGUGUUUUCCGCGUUGGCCUGUGUACAAGUCCCUUGGAACAGGGCGUCAUAGAGGGUGAGAAUCCCGUCCUUGACACAGACACCCAAUGCUUUGUGAUACACUCUCAAUGAGUCGAGUUGUUUGGGAAUGCAGCUCAAAAUGGGUGGUAAAUUCCAUCUAAAGCUAAAUACUGGCGAGAGACCGAUAGCGAACAAGUACCGUGAGGGAAAGAUGAAAAGCACUUUGGAAAGAGAGUCAAACAGUACGUGAAAUUGUUGAAAGGGAAACGAUUGAAGUCAGUCGUGCCUGCCUAGAUUCAGCCUUCUGGUGUAUUUCUAGGUUGGCAGGUCAGCAUCAGUUUGGGGGGGUUAACAAGGGAAUUGGGAAUGUGGCAACCUCGGUUGUGUUAUAGCCCAGUUUCGCAUUGAUCUCGCUGGACUGAGGAACGCAGUGCGCCCGCAAGGGUUGGUCUUCGGACACAUUCGCACUUAGGAUACGCUUUU
rnacentral:rRNA from 1 species